rnacentral:rRNA from 1 species
AACGAACGCUGGCGGCGUGGAUAAGACAUGCAAGUCGAACGGGAGUUUGUUUAUAGCAAUAUGAGUGAACUCUAGUGGCGAAAGGGUGCGUAACACGUAGCUACCUACCUCGAAGUUGGGGAUAGCUCGGCGAAAGCCGGAUUAAUACCGAAUGUGAUCGUGAGAUCGAAGCUGGGGAUCGUAGGACCUGGCGCUUUGAGAUGGGGCUGCGGCCUAUCAGCUAGNGGCGGGGUAACGGCCCACCAAGGCUUAGACGGGUAGCUGGUCUGAGAGGACGACCAGCCACACUGGAACUGAGACACGGGUCCAGACACCUACGGGUGGCAGCAGUCGAGGAUUUUCNCAAUGGGGGAAACCCUGAAGGAGCGACGCCGCGUGAGGGAUGAAGGUCUUCGGGAUUUGGAAACCUCUGUCAUCUGGGAACAAAGUGCUCAACCUAAC